UACGAAGGGGGCUAGCGUUGCUCGGAAUCACUGGGCGUAAAGCGCACGUAGGCGGACGGUCAAGUCGGGGGUGAAAUCUUUCAGCUUAACUGGAAAAGUGCCUCCGAUACUGAUCGUCUCGAGGGAGGUAGGGGCAUGUGGAACUUCCGGUGGAGCGGUGAAAUGCGUAGAUAUCGGAAGGAACGCCGGUGGCGAAAGCGACGUGCUGGACCUCUUCUGACGCUGAGGCGCGAAAGCCAGGGGAGCGAACGGG
rnacentral:rRNA from 1 species